rnacentral:rRNA from 1 species
CGUAGGUGGCAAGCGUUGUCCGGAUUUAUUGGGUUUAAAGGGUGCGUAGGCGGUCUUGUAAGUCGGUGGUGAAAUACGGCAGCUUAACUGUCGAGGUGCCAUUGAUACUGCAGGACUUGAGUACAGACGAGGUAGGCGGAAUUGACGGUGUAGCGGUGAAAUGCUUAGAUAUCGUCAAGAACACCGAUAGCGAAGGCAGCUUACUAGACUGUAACUGACGCUGAUGCACGAAAGUGUGGGGAUCAAACAGGAUUAGAUACCCUGGUAGUCCACACUGUAAACGAUGAUUACUCGAUGUUGGCGAUACACAGCCAGCGUCUUAGCGAAAGCGAUAAGUAAUCCACCUGGGGAGUACGCCGGCAACGGUG